AUCAGGUUGACUGAACGCGUUUCAAAAGAAAGUGAUCGCAAAAAGUUGAUCUCGCGAUAUUUUGCACUGAAUGGAAAUCGGCUUUAGUCACAGAAUAGAUACGAGACCAGAAGGGACACUUCUAUGUGUUUUGGCUUGGGAAAAACGUCCGAAUUUUUUUACGUGCUAUUAACUCAUCCUGGAGUGCACACGGCACUUUGUACCUAUGUUUGUCCUAUGAAAAACUUCUGUGUGCACUCCAGGAUCGCGCCAUAUGAUGGCCACGUAUUUUCACGUCAGCACUCGUAAAAUUUCGGACAAAAUAUUGUCUGAGUGAGUGACUCUUCUGGUCCAGUAUCUAUUCUGUGCUUUAGUUGUCUUAUCACGAUGAGAUACAUUUCACUACACUUUACAUGGCGGAUCUCGGAACACCGGUGGAGGCACUAGGCGAAGGAGCGCAGGCGUAAAAGGGUGAAGGAAAGGCAACUAAAGCCUCUGCGGAGGAG